CGCCGAGCGUUUCCAUGGCAGCCUGGCGGGAGCCGGCCGGAGCGAUUAGGCGUCCCGCAUCGCUGCUGCUAAAAAUAGCCCGCGCCGCACCGGGCUCAUUAGCCGCUGGGCUUUUGGCCGCCAGGCCGUGAGCUGGACCGGGGCAGAGCUUUCUGCCUCUUAUGUUCGCUGUCGCGGUCCCAGUGCCUGGACCAGUGCCUGGCCCUCAGUCGGGGCUCAGGAAAUAUUCUGAACGACAGCCCUGAGUAUAUAAAGAAUUCCCCUUUUACAGAUAUGGAAACUGAGGUCCCAGGGGUAAGGCAGCCGAGAAGAGCCCGGGGGUGACCCAAGAGGCGCCCCUGUGCCUGGGCCCCUGGCCGCUGUGUCGCAUUUCAAUGCCACGCAAGUAUAAAGGCACGUGCAAAUUUAAAAUCGCACCCGAAGUUCUUCCGGCCCCAAUU